ACACCCUAAGAUAGGGGAACUGGAUCGUAGAAUUGACUGUUGACAACAAAUUCAGGUUGGGGAGUCGAUACUCCAAAUAUCUUUGUGAAUGAAAUAGGUCAAAGACCUUCCUCUCUCUCAACAGUAUCAACAACAGUACAACAGACGUGACAAAAAUAAUAAAAUGGUCGUAUUUAUAGUUUUACAAUCCAUGAAUAAUAAUUAUUAAUAAUCACUAAUAAUCGAUAAUUAAUCAUCAGGAAUCUUGAAGAUUCCACAAUAUUUUUGAAUAAUACGUAUAGUUGCAGGAGCUAUUGAUGGUAUUAGUCUUGGACUGUUUGCAGUUGUUGGAUUAUUAUUGAUAUCACUAGCUAUUAGUAUUAUUAUUCAUAUCUCCUGCUUAAUCAAGCUCAAGUCCUAUCAUAGGAUCACUGCUAAACAAGCAAAUAAAAUUGAUAAUAAUGAUGUCAUAGAUAGUACUGUCUAUGACGAUAUUAUAGAUCUACCAAUGCAAGCAUGUGAAACAUAUGGUAUACACACAAACACAAAGAUGGUGUUGUGUACUUAGGUGCAGUAUUGACCAAAGCACAGCUUGCUUGCACGCAAUAACAGUGGAAACUUUUAGUAAAAUUAUCUCUUCUCUUUUUCUUAAAAACAACACGUGCAAGAACAUCAAUAAUAUAAUAAAAAGAACAAUAGAGCCGGCCAGCGCAGGGCCCAAUAAUGAUAAUCAUUGAUCAAUAAUGAAUUAGAGGUGUUAAUGAAUAUAUGUAUGCAUGAAUACAUAACAUUCCUCCCCCUUUGGCUAACAGUUUACAUAAAGAAGAUAAUUAUGUGAACACACAAGUAUUAAUAAGGAAAUAACUAAUAUUUACAUUCUAUAA